rnacentral:rRNA from 1 species
CCUACGGGAGGCAGCAGUAAGGAAUAUUGGUCAAUGGACGAAAGUCUGAACCAGCCAUGCCGCGUGAAGGAUUAAGGCCCUCUGGGUUGUAAACUUCUUUUAUCUGGGACGAAAAAGGGCCUUUCUAGGUCAACUGACGGUACCAUGUGAAUAAGCACCGGCUAACUCCGUGCCAGCAGCCGCGGUAAUACGGAGGGUGCAAGCGUUAUCCGGAUUCACUGGGUUUAAAGGGUGCGUAGGUGGGUCUGUAAGUCAGUGGUGAAAUCUCCGAGCUUAACUCGGAAACUGCCAUUGAUACUAUAGGUCUUGAAUUAUCUGGAGGUAAGCGGAAUAUGUCAUGUAGCGGUGAAAUGCUUAGAUAUGACAUAGAACACCAAUUGCGAAGGCAGCUUACUACGGAUAUAUUGACACUGAGGCACGAAAGCGUGGGGAUCAAACAGGAUUAGAUACCCUGGUAGUCCACGCCCUAAACGAUGGAUACUCGACAUCAGCGAUACACUGUUGGUGUCUGAGCGAAAGCAUUAAGUAUCCCACCUGGGAAGUACGAUCGCAAGAUUGAAACUCAAAGGAAUUGACGG